CUAAAGCUCAUACUGUUUUCCCUGUGUCCCACUCCUCUCUUUAUAAACAGAAAUAACUGCAGCCUUCUUUAAAAGGGACGGUCCCAGAGCAUGUGAAACGAAAGUUGAGUUUCCUGUACGUUUCUGAGAAACGACCACUGUGUGAAGUGGUUCCUGCUGGUCUGGAUACGCGUCAGAUCCAGGCUCUGGGCAGUGAGCAAGCCCUUCCAGACCUUCCCCUUAGCCCACUUCUAUCCUGAGGUCCCUCCUGGUCCCUUUGUGGUUACCCAGGUCUCUACCUAAAAUAGGCCUGCCCUCUGCAGCAGUCUGGGUGGGGCUGGGGAAGCCUCUAGAAGACUGCAACUUCCUACCAGUGUCAGAUGAAUGCAGUUCAUCCUGCAGCAUGGAACAAGGAGCAGGACCGGAGCCCCUGGGUCUUCACAGCUCCUUGUGGGUGCGUGUCAGGGCGCGUGGGGAUGGUGUCAGCUGCAGCGGCACCGUCUACACGUUUCUCCCUUUCUCUCCUUCCCACUCCAGCCCAGGAGAUCCCACUAGGGCUCAGUGACCUCCUGACCUGAUGGACUUUAGGAUCCAGGUCAUACUGGGUAACUAGGAGUCAUUCCCACAGAAUCCUACUUUUGAUGACUGUGUCCCCCCUGACACAGUAGGCCAGAGCUGGUACAGGCUGACCUUCCUGUCAGGGUGAGUUGCCCAGCAUGCUUUAGAGUUUUAGUGGGUCAGGUAUUGAUUUUCAUUUUGGUUUUUUUUUUGGUAGGAUUACCUUGUAUGUAGGCAAAUAAAUUAUGAAAAGUGUUGGUUAUACACUUAAUUACUUGGCUAAAAAUGUUAGAGCUUCCUGGUCUAGCCUGUCUUCUAGCUUCUCCGUGAACUUCGGGAACUUUCUCUGGAAGGACUUUUGUUAGGCCCAGCCUAAAACUAGUUAUUUUGGGGAAUUCUCUGGCAAUCCAGUGAUUAGGACUCCAUUGUUUUUUAGUGCUGAUGACACAGGUUUGAUCCCUGAUUGGGGAACUGAGAUGCCACAAGCUGCACAGCGUGGCCUCCCCACAAAAGGCAACCCCCCUGCCAAAACCCCAAACUAGUUAUUUUCCCUUUCUUUGACUUAAGAGACCUCGGUCACUUGACAGCUCUUGCUGAGCUUCCCAUGGCUACCUGGGAAGCCUACUCAUUGAAAACAGCAUCUCACAUGUGCCCACUAGUCACUGGGGUGUCAGUCUCAUGAUUCCAAGCUCUGCCGUCAGCAGUGUGUUGUGAGGGGCCUGCCCUUCAUCGCAUUGUGCUAAGGGACGGAUCGUCAUGCCCCCGUCACAUCCUUGCCUCUCAGAUUCACUUGUCUUGACCUCUGGGGUGAGAUGGCCUCGCUUUCACCGAGGGUGGCCCUGGGUUUUGCUCAUUUCUGCGUUAGACAUUUACUGAGCAUGUGAUGGUCCCCGAGACUGGUAUGAGAUGACUGCACUGGAGCUGACAUGUGGGGCUCAGGUAAUGACGGCAGGUGCACCAGCACCGUUCCCAGCUGAGUGGAGUGUAAACAGUCUGUUUGUUUAACCUGCGCUGUGCAGCCAGACACCCCUCGGGCCCUUCCCCCAGCAGCGCUUUGAGGCUUUGUGGUUCACAGGAGGAAACACAGAGAGGGUCAGGGUUUUCAGGCUGGCUUUCUCUGGAGCUAGUGCUCCCCGCACUCGGGGGUGUGUGGAUGAACCUGAGUGUUUGCGAUGCUGGGACUAGAAGAGGCGCAUUCUUUCUGUUCCUGUGGUACCUGUCACAGCUACCUGUCAGCAGUGUUUAUUUUUGGUUUUUGUCUGUGGAACCUUUCAGAUACCAUCAUGAUGAUAGCUGUGAUGGUAGCAGCUCAGCCGAUGAAGUCGCAGUUGUUCUGGGUUUAGAUGGUGCGUGGUCUUUACUGAAUAAUGAGGUCCUGCAGGCUGGUGGGCUCAUGGCCAUGCUGCCUGCCAUCUCUAGCCUCACCAUGGGAACCUCCCGGAAGAGCACCAAGACCCCUGGGCAUGUCUUAUACAGUGAUGCUGUGCCCCCAGAGUUCAAUGCAGCUGUUGGAAUUUGUGCUAAAAAGCUCUGCAACACAAUGUUCCCUUCUUAGAAGGCGUUUAGAAAAAAAUGUAGGAAGACUUUUAUUAUGGGAAACUUCCAUAGCAAAAAAGGCUAACAGGUUUCAUUUAUCUAUUAAAAAAAAUUUUUUUUUGCUUGAAUGCAUAGGACAUUUACCUGUUCAAAACAAUAAAAAUGUACAAUGAAAAGCUUCUCUCCUGCCUCUGUCUAUUUAUCCUAUUCAAGCCCCCACCCCAACCUCAGAAGUCACCUUACUAGUUUCUGGGAUCUUUUGGCAGGUGUUCUCUUUUUUUCUUUCCUUUUUCUUUUUUUAAAAAGAUUUUUGAUGGGGACCAUUUUAAAAUUUUUUAUUGUAUCUGUUACAGUGUUGCUUCUGUAACAGAAGCAUGUGGGAUCUUGGCUCCUUGACCAGGAAUUGAACCUGCACCCCCUGCAUUGGAAGGGGAAACUUUAACCACUGAACCACCAGGGAAGUCCUGCCAGAUGUUUUCUAUGUAUAUCUUGUCAAACAUGACU